GACGAACGCUGGCGGCGUGCUUAACACAUGCAAGUCGAACGGUGAAGCUCCAAGCUUGCUUGGGGUGGAUCAGUGGCGAACGGGUGAGUAACACGUGAGUAACCUGCCCCGGACUCUGGAAUAAGCGCUGGAAACGGCGUCUAAUACUGGAUAUGACAUCAAGCCGCAUGGGUAUGGUGUGGAAAGUUUUUCGGUCCGGGAUAGGCUCGCGGCCUAUCAGCUUGUUGGUGAGGUAAUGGCUCACCAAGGCGACGACGGGUAGCCGGCCUGACAGGGCGACCGGCCACACUGGGACUGAGACACGGCCCAGACUCCUACGGGAGGCAGCAGUGGGGAAUAUUGCACAAUGGGCGAAAGCCUGAUGCAGCGACGCCGCGUGAGGGAUGACGGCCUUCGGGUUGUAAACCUCUUUCAGCAGGGAAGAAGCGAAAGUGACGGUACCUGCAGAAGAAGCACCGGCUAACUCUGUGCCAGCCGCCGCAGUAA
rnacentral:rRNA from 1 species